AAAGGGGUGCUUGCAGCGUACCGAAUAUCGUACGUACCGCAGGCUGAGAUUAUACCCAUAUUACCUGAUACGGAUAAUGCCGCCGAAGGGAAUUGUAAAACA
rnacentral:ncRNA from 1 species